UCAAUUUCAAAACAGAUCAGCAAUAAAAUCCAAAAUAAGCAUAGCUAAAGCAUGUGGACAAUGCUAUUUAGCAAAUUGACAUGCUUAAGUAACACACGACACAACAAUUCCUAAGUGACAUUCAUAUACUUCGAUUACUACCUAAAUCAAACAUGAAAAUGAAUCCAAUCAAUAUUGACAAAAGCAUGUGCACAGUCUUUUUUUUUAUUUUUUGCAAUGAUGAUACAAGAAGGUAAUUUCAAUUUAACAGACUUGUGUAUUCCUUUCUAACACCGACACAAGUAAAAACAUGGGAGGAGGAGUAUUAUACAACAGAUGGUACCUGCAUCAAACAUGAAAUUGAAUCCAAUCAAUAUUGAUAAAAGCAUGUGCACAUUGCCUUUCAUUUUUUUUUAUUUUUUUUUGCAAUGAUGAUACAAGAAGGUAGUUUCAAUUUAACAGACUUGUGAAUUCCUUUCUAAAACUAACAUAAAUAAAAACAUGGAAGGAGGCAUAUCAGACAACAGAGAGGAAAAGAGAACGAAAAACUGCAUAAUUUUGUUAUUUAAACAACAUAUUUACUCUCAAAACACAAAACUUAAAGUGCAAACAUACAGUUAGGAAUCAAUGAUUUGUCGACUUCCCAAAAUCAGAAGAACUAUAUGCUCCAUUUCAUCUCAUAUUAAAUAGUUCGUAUUGAAAGGCAAAAGCUUGCAAAUCUCAAGUGAACGAUCCAAGUCAAUGCACCAGAAAGAUGGAAAGUCAAAAUGACUAGCUAUGGGCCCUGUAACUACAUCAAAAUCUUAAAAUCUACAACAGAGAGCACUUUUCAAGCUAUACAAAUUACUAGUAGCAUCAAAAUUAUAUUUGUUUUAGAACAAUCCAAGAAUGAACCAAGCCCAGUUUCAGCUGUUUUAGCUCAGUUCUUCAAGAAUAACACUUCAGCCUCCAGUAGAUAAAAUGAGUUUCAACUGGGUAACUGAACCAGCUUUAAUGAGGUCAAUUCCAGGUAGAAAUCUUGGGUACCUGAAAGUCUGGACCAACUUUCAGAAGCAACAAUUGAGUAGAGCAGCAGGAAGCAGGGCUGCAUUAUUUAUUCAAUCAUAACCAUCGCAUCUCAUCUACAAGCCUCGCCUUGCAAUAUAACUCUAUAUAUAUAUUAGAAAAAGCACUUCCAAAAUAACCUUCAUUUUUGUGCUGGGAACUUUUAAGGCAUGUAACGCAGCCCAUAAUAAACUACGUAACCUAUAACACAUUCAUAGGAUUAAGCUUAAAUGAAUUCUCUGUUAGAUUUUCUAUACGGUUCAGAAACACAAACUA